GACGAACGCUGGCGGCGUGCUUAACACAUGCAAGUCGAACGGAAAGGCCCUGCUUGCAGGGUACUCGAGCGGCGAACGGGUGAGUAACACGUGGGUGAUCUGCCCUGCACUUCGGGAUAAGCCUGGGAAACUGGGUCUAAUACCGGAUAGGAGCCAUUUUUAGUGUGAUGGUUGGAAAGUUUUUUCGGUGUAGGAUGAGCUCGCGGCCUAUCAGCUUGUUGGUGGGGUAAUGGCCUACCAAGGCGGCGACGGGUAGCCGGCCUGAGAGGGUGGACGGCCACAUUGGGACUGAGAUACGGCCCAGACUCCUACGGGAGGCAGCAGUGGGGAAUAUUGCACAAUGGGCGCAAGCCUGAUGCAGCGACGCCGCGGGGGGGAUGACGGCCUUCGGGUUGUAAACUCCUUUCGCUAGGGACGAAGCUUUUUGUGACGGUACCUAGAUAAGAAGCACCGGCUAACUACGUG
rnacentral:rRNA from 1 species